CUUAAAUAGUCAAACCUCAAUUAAAUUUAUCUUGUUUAUUGUGGGACAGAAUAAACUAUUUUCACCAUUUUAGUUUUUAGAUUUUAUUUAUAUUGGUAUGUAACUAAAACUUAUAAAGAACCAACGACUGCAAAGUCCGGGUUAAUUUUUGCUUAAAUAUUUAAUAGAAGUUUUAAAAGCAUUUCGAUCUGAGUUGUCUGAAGAGAAACUAUACUAACCACAGUGUUCUCAUUUCUCGUACUUUUUAAAUUUUCUUACAGUCAGCUGUUCAAUUGAAUUUUCAUUGGCAAGUGAACAACAACGCAGCUCAGUUUCCACUUUUCCAUUUCCAUUUGCAUUUCUCAUCGGGCUCCAUUCCGCUACGUUCUGGUCGACCGGCAGCCUCAAAAAAUUUAUUUUGCAUUUUACAACUGCAAUGUGAAUGGAUUCGCCGGAGGCAAUCGCCUGGCAAAACCAAAGACCCUGUGCCUGGGCAUCUCAGUUCGAUUGGAGUGCGAGACCGAACGUAAAAAAUAGCUUCGAAUUUUCAGGAAAAUUAGCUGCCAAUUGUUUUCGGCGCCCAGCAUCGAUAUUCAGCUGAUAAAUUGAGAACGGACGGAAGGGAGAUUGUGCUAAGCCAAGCAGGAAAUUUCGAAUUUGGUUCGCUUCUGGUUUAACCUACAGAUUGCAGUUGCUAAACUUUAAGUGGGAUACUUUAAUUUGGCCCACUAACUUAUGCAUAGUUUAUAAAAAUUAAAGCGGACAGACCUGGCCCACACGGCGUAUGCGCAUUACAAAUCUGCGGGCAGCUGGAAAAUGUCAGGAAAAAGUGCAGUGCAUAUAACUUAAUUAUGCAGAAAUGUAAACGGGGUACGAGGUUGCAGGGUUGCCUAGUUUCUCCAUGCGCCGCUUGAAGUCCUUCCAUAAGCUCAAAGUUCGUAAUAGGAUUUAGCUGGUACAGCUUGUUGCAGCACUUUUGGUUGCCAUUGUUGCCACUGCUACCGAUGGUUGUGGCCUGCUAGAGAAGAUGAUGAUGAUGAUGCAUGGCAGUCCUAGUCGCUCCUCCUCUGGCUGCUCCUCUGUAUUUCUGUGUCAAACACGGCACUGUGGAGUGGUCGGGACAAUUUCUAGGCACAACUUGGCUUAAGUUUUAUGUUGCAAAAUUUAAAUGGACUUCAGGAAUUUUAAACUUAGCCUUAGAAGCCAUAA